UUGACCUCCUGGUGUGAUUCGCUAAGUCUUCAAACUAAUCCGUUGUACAAGUGCUUUAUACCCAACAAUCUGAUCUUUUUCUCUCUUUUCAAGAUGGACAAUUCUAUUUUCCACUUCACCAAGAUGAGAGUCAAAAGUCUUUGAUUCAUACUCCACAGUUCUCUCAUUUACCGACAGUUCCAUUACAGAGGUUUUGGACUAUCCAUUUUGCUUUCAGUGUCACCGAAUUAUCGGUAUCGUGAAGUGCCCAAGCUUUGUAAGGCAGCAGACCAGCCACUCAGUUUCGACCCCUGUUAAUAAAGUCUUGGGACAUGGAGGGGUUCUGAGCUGUGGUACACCUUUGGCAGAACAGCUGCUCUGAUGGGAAUAGACAAAUAUCACCUACAGUGACCAUGACUGCCAAAUAGAGCUGUUGCAGAAAUGCAGAUCAAUGCUAAAUGACAUUUGCAGAAACUAACUAAAGUCGCUAUAUCCAAGAGGCAGCACUGAGGACAACAUUUGGCAAUUGGUCUAAUGCCUAUUUUAUUGAUAUUUUUACAGUGUACAGAUAUUGCAAUAAGAAUUGCCCACCACUGAACACUUAGCCUACAAAGAGCCCGGCACUAACUAGUACUUUGUAACACAAAAGCAAUAUAUCAUGAAGUAAAUAGGAUUGUCCCCCACACAGUCAUAUUUAGCAAAAAUUAAAACCUUAAAUGUGUGCCAUUUAUUGCUCUGUUCUUAACCAGUGAAGUUGGUGACUGUGGCUAUAUGCCAGUUUUACAGCUGUUAUUCAGGGCAGCCUCUAUCCAUCAUUGCUGCAUUUAAACAAGAAUGUCUCAUCUGGGUAGCUAUGCUCACAGUGGAAAAAUCAAGUUGAGAAACAGAACAUUAUGUUGACUAUUCAAUACAUAUAUUGCAGUAGUGCCUACCGGGGCCCUGCAGUGAGAGACCCAUUAUGCUGGGUGCAGAACUAAUGUAGAAAAUAGGACAAGAUUCAAUGUUGCCCACUUUUAGAUCCAAUGUUGCCAAUUCUUGUAAAUGUAUCGUAACUUUUCCAAUAUUUGGUGUGUUUUUAAAGCCCCGGCUGCUGGAUUCAGAUUAUUUCUUGAGAAUUUCAACUUUUCUUUUUUAAAUAAAGCAUGUUUCUAGCCCUACAGCUGCAGAAAAACAUGUGAAAAUGAGAAUGCUAAAUGUUCCACUGAC